rnacentral:rRNA from 1 species
UACGGGGGGGGCGAGCGUUGUUCGGAAUUACUGGGCGUAAAGGGUUUGUAGGUGGUCUGCUAAGUCAGACGUGAAAUCCCUCAGCUUAACUGGGGAACUGCGUCUGAUACUGGCGGACUUGAGGACAGGAGAGGAACGCGGAAUUCCAGGUGUAGCGGUGAAAUGCGUAGAUAUCUGGAGGAACACCGAUGGCGAAGGCAGUUGCCUGGCCCAGAACUGACGCUGAGGUGCGAAAGCGUGGGGAGCGAACGGG